GACAGAGGAUGCAAGCGUUAUCCGGAAUGAUUGGGCGUAAAGCGUCUGUAGGUGGCUUUUUAAGUCCGCCGUCAAAUCCCAGGGCUCAACCCUGGACAGGCGGUGGAAACUACCAAGCUGGAGUACGGUAGGGGCAGAGGGAAUUUCCGGUGGAGCGGUGAAAUUCGUAGAUAUUCGGAAGAACACCAGUGGCGAAGGCGACUCGCUGGACAAGUAUUGACGCUGAGGUGCGAAAGCGUGGGGAGCAAACAGG
rnacentral:rRNA from 1 species